rnacentral:lncRNA from 1 species
UCACGUCACGCCUUAAUGCGGUGCUACACUACGCCAUCAAGGUGGACAGACGGGUGUAUAAAUAUGUGCCCAUACCCCCUAUAUGAAUUAAACACUCAUAUAGGGCUACUACGCUUACGUCCAACGCUCACGUCACACCAUAAUGCGGCUAUAUGCUACGCCAUUAAGGUGGACAGACACAUAUGGCUAGCUAGCAUUUUCUAUACAUACUCUCUCAUAAUUACAUAUUUAUAUUCACCGAAAAUCCCAUUUUCGGUAACUCUCUCAGAGAAAUAAAAGCGUCAAAAUUAAUUGACGUCAAAACUCCAACAAAAGGAAAUGUUCAAUCAUGAACCAUAGCAUGCAUAUUAUUUCAAAACAAAGGUCCACUCACAAAUUAGGCCUAAGCCUGAUGUCGAUCUGGAGUCUCGUCUGCUCGAGCCUCCGGCCCUCACGUCCUGUUCCAAAUAUAAUAUUAAUUUCCCAACCAAUAAUCCAAUAUUUAAUCAAAAUAGGCAAAAUUACCCGAGAGCCAUAAUUACGCUCAUCAUUGCCUAACUUCGAUAUUCUUACAUCGGAACAAUCCACACUUAAAUAUCAUACUCAACAGUCGUAAAUACAACCUCCUCAAAAUACGACUUAAAUCCUACGGCCGGAUUCUACAUUAAUUAACCGCUAAAAAUACCAAACUUCGGAAAUUCACAAACCUAUCCAAAUCUCAUCCAAAAAUUCCAUAAUUCACUUCAAUAAUAUCCCCUUAAUAUUCUACAUCAAAAACCAUAAAAAUCUCCUAACCGCCGGCGGCUCCGCCGGCAGCGGCGGCCGGCAGCCGUUUUCCGGCGACCUGCAAAUGCUACCAAAUUUUAACAGAAUCUUCCUCUCAAUCUCCUCUACAACUUUCAUGACCAACACAUCACCCAAUUCCAAGCCUAACUAGGCUAAUCGAACGAAAACAACUUAAAAGCCUAGAAAUUUCAACUCCACAUUUCUCCUUACCUAGCUCAAGAGGGAGGGAGCUACUUGGAGGGGUUGUUGCACGGGAGGAGGGCUACAAAACCGUACCAAGCUUGCCCGGAUUGGUGGCCGGAGGAGGAAGUUCCGGCGAAGGGAAGCUCGGAGCAGCCUAGCCUUUCGGGCGGCACCGCUCACUCACGGCGGCGCUAGGGCUCCUCUCACCGGUCCAGGGAGGCCUGCUGGGUUGAAGGUCGAUCGAUUGGAACCGGUGCGG